UAACAACUACUUUUCGAGUUAUAUCUAAUAAUGCGUUUUUACUUGACGCUUUUUUCGUCGACCUACGUUGUAUUAUACCGCAUAACUUUCUACUGGGUGUACCGAUUUUGAUAAUUCUUUUUUUGUUGGAAAGAAGAUAUCUCUAGUUUAGUACCAUGAUAAGGAAACCAGGAUCUGAUUAUGGGAUCCCGGAGAAAUCGAGGGAAACUCUUGAAAAUCCGCAAUAACUUUUUACUGGGUGUACCGAUUUUGAUAAUUUUUAAUUUAAUCGAAAGCUGAUGUUUGUCAUGUAGUCACAUAUAAAUUUUAUUGAGAUCUGAUCACUACUUUUUGAGUAAUCUUUGAUAACGCGUAGUUACUUGACUAUUUUUUCGUCGAUCUACGUUGUAUUACUCGUCGGUGUAAUUGAAGUCGGUUUUUUUUUUCGUUUGCGAG
rnacentral:misc_RNA from 1 species